rnacentral:rRNA from 1 species
AUUGAACGCUGGCGGCAGGCCUAACACAUGCAAGCCGAAUGGUAACAGGAAACAGCUUGCUGUUUCGCUGACGAGUGGCGGACGGGUGAGUAAUGUCUGGGAAACUGCCUGAUGGAGGGGGAUAACUACUGGAAACGGUAGCUAAUACCGCAUAACGUCGCAAGACCAAAGAGGGGGACCUUCGGGCCUCUUGCCAUCAGAUGUGCCCAGAUGGGAUUAGCUAGUAGGUGGGGUAACGGCUCACCUAGGCGACGAUCCCUAGCUGGUCUGAGAGGAUGACCAGCCACACUGGAACUGAGACACGGUCCAGACUCCUACGGGAGGCAGCAGUGGGGAAUAUUGCACAAUGGGCGCAAGCCUGAUGCAGCCAUGCCGCGUGUAUGAAGAAGGCCUUCGGGUUGUAAAGUACUUUCAGCGGGGAGGAAGGGAGUAAAGUUAAUACCUUUGCUCAUUGACGUUACCCGCAGAAGAAGCACCGGCUAACUCCGUG